AGGCUUACCACUUGGCUUUGCUUAUACAGUUUCUGGUUUCUGUGACCUAUUUUUUGUAUUUCAGCAUUUUGUGAACAGCUUAUUCUUAGAUCAUUGGUUUUCCAAAGGCUUUGUGGCCAUGAAGCCCUUUGAAUGAAUGCUAUACGGAAGACCAGAGUUAAAGUGAAGCUGCUCUGGAAGAAGCAGAAGUGGGGGGCCUGAAACCUGCCACAAGCAUCUUACUUUACCACCAUGGUGACACCUCAGGAGACUUCUUUACAGCACCUAGAAUUCUUCAGAACACAGUUUGAAAACCACUGCCCUAGACGACAUUGUGUUCAACUUGAAAGGCAUUCUGUUCUGUACCUCUACCCAACACCAUCCAUGUUCAGUUGAUGUUCAACAUCAUUAAGAAUACUUAACUGUGGGUAAACUCAGAAAAGUACAAGAAGAUGGGCAUAUCUUUGCCCAUCUGCCCUUUGCCCCUAGAUGGACUUCCAGUGAUUCCUAGAAUUGGAUAUAGCUAGAGAGCAAUUCAUACAUACUCUACACUGAUAAACCCCUUUACCCAGUUUCUUUUUAUAAACACCAGAUACUCUAGUGGUACUUGAAAUACAUGACCUCGAAGUCUUAAUCCUCCUUGGAUACAUGAAUGACGUGGUAUUGAAGUUGAUGCCUCAUUGAGGUCAUAUUCAACCAACUAUACAUUGGACCUCCUGUCAUCAGCCAUGGUACUCUACUUUGUGUGCAAGGGAUAACCAUUAACUGUGAAAGUAGAAUUCAAAUAUUGGCAAUGUUACCUAAAAGGGUACAUGGUUUUAUUCACCUUCUCAAACUAUAAGUUACUGUCACUCAACCAGUGGCAGUUACACUGCUCCUUGGUUUUUAAUUCAGUUUGAUUGCUGUUUCCAGGAUUUAAUGAGCUAAUAAUCCUUAAGAAAAAUUGCUAAAACAAUUCCUCCAUCACUGGCAUAUCUGCCUAUUCUGCUCUAAAAUUACAAUACUCAGCUCAACUACAUGUAACACCUGAUCCACAGGAGACAAUAUCUGAACAUACUUUCUUGUGAUUUAAAAUGUGGCCAUUUGCAAAACUUUCUUCCAAACAACGGGAGAUUUUAAGAUGGGUCUUUUAAUGUUUCUUCCAAACAACUGUAGAUGUUAAGGAUAUUUGGAGGUAGGCCUUUUGACCAGGCCACAGUAGCUUACUCGGAGGGCAUGUCAGAUUGCAUGUCAUCUACCUUUUUGCUGGAAAUGUAGACCAACUUGAAAGAAAAUCUGCAAAGCCUGUGGCUACAGAUUUUAUGAGUAGACUCAAGAGCUUCCUGAUGCUUCUUAAUGUCACAAGACCACAGUCCCUUAUCCUUAUGGAUAUUUCCAUGGAAUUUCAUCUGUCUCAAUACUGUUUUACACUGAAUCAGAGUGGCUGACUUCAUUCCUCGUCUUGAGAUACUCUUGGGCAUUAAGACAACCCAUAUGUCUCUGCAGGAGGGAUUCAAUUAAUGAACUCCCAGACCAGAUCAUGUAGAACAAGUAGACUUCACUUUGUGUCAUGAGAAAAAAAAAAAUCUCAUUUCUUUACUUCAGAGUCAACUUAAGGGCCAGCUGUCCUCAACUACUUUAAUGAAUGCACUGGUUAAAUGUUGGGAAUGGUUUCUUUAUAUCUUUGUCUCAUCCUCUGUACUAACUGACUCAGUCUUCAAAUCAUCAAACAGGGCCUAAGUCUGAUUACUCUGUACUGCUCAACCCUCAACAAAUUAAAAUCUGAUGACCAGCCUGCUUGUAUAUGCAACUAUUAUUUGUAAAGAAGAAGCUUAUCUGCAGACUCAUUGUUUUCUACCUUGAAAAUGUCAGCUUGACUUUCCUUUUCUCCUGUACUUGACAGAAAAAGACAUUGAUCUACACUGCAAUUCCAGAAGAUGGAGACUUGAUUACCAAAGAAAGUAGGGCCAACCUUGAUGAACCUGGCUCUCCCAACCCUGUCACUCCCAGAUGUAGCAUAGACUCCUAAACAGAACCCUCAAGUCUGUAUCGAGGAUAUAACCCUCUGAGCUGAAAGAUCUUGGGCAGAUGAGCAGGAAAAUGAAAGUUGCUGUACCUGACUGGCCCAGUAUGAUCAGAAAAUUGUAUCCAGAGUAAACCCUAUGGAUUAAUAACCCUGGAGUACUCAGGGUAAAAACUAAUUUACAGAGCUUUGAUAUUAAACUGCCUGUUCUUCCAGAUCAUAGCCUGGCUAUUGAUAUGGCUGGCCCUGCUUGCCUCUUUACCUAACUCAGCCCUUGCCUGCCUUUUUGACUGCAGUCCAACUGGCUGUGCUUGAUAAAACUACAGCUGAUCUCAACCUAUCUUAUACCCAGUUCCACCAAGGAGUUUUGAACAGAAGCACCCUGCACCCCACCAUGACUUAGUGUUCACUGCAGGAAGGAGCAUGCUUUUUUUUUUUUUUUUUUAAUUUUAUCUUUUUUAAUACUUGGGACCCUUUCUACUAGGCCUGGAGGAGUACAGCAGAUUGAAAGCAUUGCCCAUUCUCUCUUCUACAGUAAUACAGAGAUGAAGCUGAUUCACCAGGACUCACAGAAAUGUACCGAUUCAACUUGGCAAAAGACAUGAACACAAGAAACUUUUCCACUAAACUUAAAAUUCGCCACUGACUUGAAUAGCCUCAUAGAACUAUUUGCCAGUAGAAGGCUGGUUGUCCUGCUUCAUGUCAGCAAGACAGCUGGACUCUCACACAUGACCACUGAGUUUGCUUACAUCGAAACUGUUGUAUCAUUCAAAGUAUCUACUGGACAUGAUUAUUCCAUUCAAAUGGAUUACAAGCUUCGAGUAGAAGACAGACUUACUCCUCAUGAUUUUUUCCAGAAUGCUCCUAUUGUCAAGGAAGUCUACACCAGCUGUUAACCAUUCAACUCUAUGAGCAGAGAUUAAAUUUUUUCAAUAUCUGUUCUUAUCGUUGACAUCAGUUGUUUUUGAUUGACCAACACCUAUUCCAUCUCUUUAUAAAUAAAAACAACUCCCUGAUGCUUCUUGGAACCACCUCUCUCUUUUUCAAUUCAUGUGGUUCAGUCUGACCUAACCUUAGGUUUCAUGGGUGGACAUGUAAUUCAAACCUGAUCAGUCAGCAAAAUCCAUCUCCUUGACCAUAGUGAUUGGUUCAGGAAUGAUCAUGUGAUUCAAGUUGGUCCAGUGAUUACUUAAUCCUGAGAGUUUUAGUGAACUGUGUAGGAGAAGCUCAGAGGCUGUUUACUGAGGUUGCUUAGCUCUGUAGGAUGAAAAGCUCAAACCAACAGGGCCUACCAUAUCAAAUAAGCCAGUCAGAGAAUGAAGCCAGUGCAGAGGAAGGCGGAGCCAAAUGAUGGAGAGACUUAAGUUCUGAUGAUAAUUUUUUGUGCCCCUGGAUCCAACCGUGCCUGAAGCUAGAAUAUCCCCUGGACUUUUCAGUUAUGUAAACCAAUAAAGACCCUUUUUUGCUUAAGUUACUUUGAGUUUGGUUUCUAUUACUUGAAAUUGAGUCUGAAUAUGCUAUCUACCAAUAUGGAAGUUUGACAGAUCCAAGUAUUAAUUAAACUAGAGGUCAAGGCCACACUGAAAUUAUUUUUCAAUCUAGAAGAUAAAAAAAACAGGAACUGACAAUGUUUUAUGUUUACAGAGCAUAAAAAUUAAUUACAUGGUAGAAAAAAUACAGAAGAAAACCUAAAUGUUUAUCAGUGAAGAAUUGGUUAUGUACCACAUGGCUUAGCCAUAUAAGAAAAUCGACGUGUCUGUUAAAAUGAAUAAAGUACAUUUAUUGUGUAUGGGCAUGGAAAAAUGGCCAUAAUAUAUUAAGUGAAACAAACUUGCUAGAAAAAUUUGUAGUAUGAACUCAUUUAAGAAUUUGUGUGUUUAUGUUCAUAAUGCAUAGAAAAGUCUAUAAAUGGCCUUUUUGUGAACAGUGUAGAUUACAUGGAACUUUCAACUUUA
rnacentral:lncRNA from 1 species